UACGUAGGGCGCAAGCGUUGUCCGGAAUUAUUGGGCGUAAAGAGCUCGUAGGCGGCUUGUCACGUCGGAUGUGAAAGCCCGGGGCUUAACCCCGGGUCUGCAUUCGAUACGGGCAGGCUAGAGUUCGGUAGGGGAGAUCGGAAUUCCUGGUGUAGCGGUGAAAUGCGCAGAUAUCAGGAGGAACACCGGUGGCGAAGGCGGAUCUCUGGGCCGAUACUGACGCUGAGGAGCGAAAGCGUGGGUAGCAAACAGG
rnacentral:rRNA from 1 species